rnacentral:rRNA from 1 species
GUGGGGAAUAUUGCGCAAUGGGGGAAACCCUGACGCAGCAACGCCGCGUGAGUGAUGAAGGCCUUCGGGUUGUAAAGCUCUUUCGGUUGGGAAGAAGGGUGUGCGAGCUAAUAAUUCGUACAUUUGAUGGUACCAAAAGAAGAAGCACCGGCUAACUUCGUGCCAGCAGCCGCGGUAAUACGAAGGGUGCGAGCGUUGUUCGGAAUUACUGGGCGUAAAGGGUUCGUAGGCGGGAACGUCAGUCGAAUGUGAAAACCCUGGGCUUAACCUGGGACGUGCAUUCGAUACUGCGUUUCUUGAGUUCUGGAGAGGGUGGUGGAAUUGCUGGUGUAGGAGUGACAUCCGUAGAGAUCAGCAGGAACGCCGGAGGCGAAAGCGACCGCCUGGCCAGACACUGACGCUGAGGAACGAAAGCGUGGGGAGCAAACAGGAUUAGAUACCCCUGUAGUCC